rnacentral:rRNA from 1 species
UACGGAGGGGGCUAGCGUUGUCCGAAGUUACUGGGCGUAAAGCGCGCGUAGGCGGGUUGGUAAGUCCGCUGUGAAAGCCCGGAGCUCAACUCCGGAGGGUCGGUGGAUACUGCCCAGUCUUGAAGGUGCUAGGGGGAGAUGGAAUUACCGGUGUAGCGGUGAAAUGCGUAGAGUAUCGGUAGGAACACCAGUGGCGAAGGCGGUCUCCUGGGGCAUUCUUGACGCUGAGGCGCGGAAAGCUGGGGGAGCAAACGGG